AGAGUUUGAUCAUGGCUCAGGACAAACGCUGGCGGCGUGCCUAAAGCAUGCAAGUCGUACGGUCCUUCGGGACAGUGGCGGACGGCUGAGUAACACGUAGGUAACCUACCCUCGAGUGGGGAAUAACUCCGCGAAAGCGGAGCUAAUACCGCAUACGAUCGCAUGCUCACGGGUGUGCGAGGAAAGUCGCAAGGCGCUCGGGGAUGGGCCUGCGUCCGAUUAGCUAGUUGGUGGGGUAAAGGCUCACCAAGGCGACGAUCGGUAGCUGGUCUGAGAGGAUGAUCAGCCAGACUGGGACUGUGACACGGCCCAGACUCCUACGGGAGGCAGCAGUUAGGAAUCUUGGGCAAUGGGCGAAAGCCUGACCCAGCAACGCCGCGUGGGUGAUGAAGGCCUUCGGGUCGUAAAGCCCUUUUGCACGGGAAGAUAAUGACGGUACCGUGCGAAUAAGCCCCGGCUAACUACGUGCCAGCAGCCGCGGUAAUACGUAGGGGGCGAGCGUUGUCCGGAUUUAUUGGGCGUAAAAGGCUUGUAGGUGGCCACGCCAAGUCGGAUGUGAAAUCUCCCGGCUCAACUGGGAGGGGUCAUUCGAUACUGGCGGGCUCGAGGCCGGUAGGGGGAAGUGGAAUUCCCGGUGUAGUGGUGGAAUGCGUAGAUAUCGGGAGGAACACCAGUGGCGAAGGCGGCUUCCUGGACCGGUUCUGACACUGAGGAGCGAAAGCGUGGGGAGCGAUCCGGAUUAGAUACCCCAGUAGUCC
rnacentral:rRNA from 1 species